rnacentral:tmRNA from 1 species
GGGGGCGUACUGGCUUCGACGUAUUACAAGGGGCUUGUGGUGCAUGUCGAGCGUUUAUUGGGUGCUCGUUAAACAAUCAAUUAAACAAUAAGUGCAAACCAUACGGUUUCACAAUCUGACUACUCAAUGUCUUGCGCAGCUUUUGCGUAAGCUUUAAGAACCUCAGAUUCUUGUUAGCAGAAUUUGCCUAUAAAUUCUUCUAACACGUAUUAUAAAAAAUAGGACUUUUUAAGUCAGGUUACUUGGUUUUGUAACUUAAAUCGUAUACAAAACUGACUUAUACCUAAUGCUGUGUCCUUGCAGUUGGGUAUUCGUAUAAGCAAGGAACAAACAUGUAGUACUGCGGGUUGUUUGUCUUGCGGACAUGGGUUCGAUUCCCAUCGCCUCCAAUA